GGUAGCAUAGCCAAGCAGCCUAAGGCACUGGAUUUAAGCUCCAGUCUCUGUGGGGACGUGGGUUUGAAUCCUACUGAUGUCA
rnacentral:tRNA from 1 species